GUUCCGGUAUUUCUGAAUCAGCCUCCGCCGGGAGGGGCCCCCGGAAACGAUUUUAGCUGUCUUGGCGCAUUGGAGGCAGUAGUUGGAACUGCAGGAAGAAGACAAAACUGCCUAUACAGCCAGUCCAGUGCCUCACUGGGACCCCUGGAAAUUCACUUCUAGAAACCUUUAGUAAACGUCUCAAACGAAUCAGUGCACAACUGGAAUCCUAAUAUUUGGGAGUUGGAGACUAGAGAAUCAGGAGUUCGAGGUCAGCCUGAGCUAUAUGAACCCCUGUCUCAAAAGACCGGAGCCGGUGAUGUAGUUCACUUGGUAGGUUGAUUGCCUAGGAUUCUUAACGUCCUGGGUUCAGUCCCCAGGAAGGACGUGAAUCCUGACGCUAUGUAAUGCCGGCGCUCAAGACAGCAGAGGCCUGAGCCUCAGAAGUUCUACAUCCUGUUCUACACUGAGAGAUUCGAGACAGGAAAUAAGGGGAGUGGAAUUUUUAAAACCUGACAAUGUCUAGUUAUAAUGGAGAUGGAAAUAACUUUAAAGGACACAAACAAGAAA